rnacentral:rRNA from 1 species
UACGGGGGGGCAAGCGUUGUUCGGAAUUACUGGGCGUAAAGGGCUCGUAGGCGGCCAACUAAGUCGGACGUGAAAUCCCCAGGCUCAACCUGGGAACUGCGUCCGAUACUGGAUGGCUUGAAUCCGGGGAGAGGGAUGCAGAAUUCCAGGUGUAGCGGUGAAAUGCGUAGAUAUCUGGAGGAACACCGGUGGCGAAGGCGGUUCUCUGGGCCUUACCUGACGCUGAGGAGCGAAAGCGUGGGGAGCGAACAGG